UCUCCCCCCCCCCCGCAGCGUUGCCAAGGCUACAACGGAAUCCAUGUUUGAAUCUUCUAUAACAGUUGCGCACUCUGGAGGCUCUUAACUUCCAGUCUCCCGCCAUUGCAGUUUUCUGGAGCGGAGGCGAGGGCCGGAGAACGUUUAAAUUCGAAAAACAAAUCUGUCGCUGGUUCUCCCGAGCCUCUCUGACGCCCGACAUCAGGAUGAAGAAGAUACUCAGCUUCGGCAGCAAAAGAGAGCUGUCUCCCUCUGGAGCCUCCUUCCCCCAGCGGAGGAACAGCCGGGUCCGAGCUUUCGGCCCUAGUUCAGGCUACCUCCUCAGGAUGCCUGGGGAAGAUCCACAAAGCUGCCUCCGUCGGGGACGUGGCGAAGGUGCAGCAGCUGCUGCUGCUGGGGAAGUCAGGAGUGAACGAGGGGAAUAAAGUGAGCCGGAUGCCUCUACACCUGGCCUGUGCUAAUGGGUAUCCAGAUGUUGUGUCUCUCUUAGUAGAGAGAAAAUGCAAUCUAAACCUACGUGACAAUGACAGUCUAAUGCCUUUAAUUAUGGCAUUACAGUGUCAGCAGGAGGAAUGUGCAAUUAUCCUGCUCAAACAUGGUGUAGACCCUAAUCUUGUGGACACCAACAACGCUGCACUUCACUAUGUUGCCUCUGGACAGAACACAGCCAUAGCAGCAAAGCUGCUUAGACAUAAAAUGGAUAUUGAAGCCAAAAACAAAGUAGACGUCCAUCUCCUGCAUAAUAUAGUAUUUUGUGAGUCAUCUCUCACAUGACUUGCUACAUCAAAUUCAUUAUUGCCUGAACCUCCUUGUACUCACCAUGCAUAUUUCUAUUGCCUCUGAGAUCAUCUACAAUUUUGAUCCUUCUGAGAUUGUUUUUGGGUUUUGGAUUUUUAAAAAAAAAUGACUGGCCACAUAGCAUUUGUGAGAGAAUAUUGGUGUUUAUAAAAUGAACUUUUGUGGCAGUGGGGUCAUUGGAAGUUCUGUGUAGUUUCUCAAAGGAGUUGCAGUUGGAUCUCCUUUUCCCAAUAAUUAUGAGCCCAGUACACUGCUGUUCUUCCAUACCCAUCCAGGCAGUGUGUAUGUGUAUGUCUACAUAUAUAAACACCUCUACAAAGACGUAAAUUCACUAAGUAGAUGGGGCUGCCCUUUCGACUCGCAUGGAAUCUAGAAAAUAUUUACUUUUCAUCCACUUUUUCAGGGUAGAUUCUUAGACUAAUGUAUUUUGACUAAGUUUGGAUUUCUUCAAGGAGCGUUUUUCAUGUUCCAGGGCUUGACACAAUUAGCACAGUGUCAUACAAAAAUAGGAGUAUUUGUAAAUCUUUGCCAUCAUAUACUGUUUCUAUUCUGUUUGGACCUUGUGCAGGACAUCCAACACAGCACUGGCAAACACCUUAGCAGUCCAGUUCUGGAGUCACCUCACAUUGGGAAUGUUAAUAACGGUAUGUUCUUCAGUAGAAGUCUUAUUCUAAGAAGAAAUUUAGUAUAUUCUAAUGGAAACAUAUUGUCUUCAAAAAGCAGAGUGGAAGGCUACUUGGCAAAGUGUAUCUUUAUUAAAUUGACAAAACCUUUUAUCUAAAGGUUUUGCCCAAUGACAAGUUUUUCAUUACCUAAGACCUCUUCUAGUAAUGAUGCUAUCAAAGAAAGAUUCAAGAAGGAUCUAACUCAGAACCUGGGGAAUAGAUCCACACUCUCCUCUUAACUCCAAGUUUACUACCAGGACAGAAGAAGUUUGCAAUAUCGUCAUCAUGAACAUAACAGACAUCUGUGCAGUUCUUUGCUAGAUUUUCUUUUGUGCAUUUACUAUUGCAAAUUUGGAGAGAAAUGUCUUUUCUUGAGUGUAAAUUUAAAUAAGAACAUUAUAUAUAAGGAAACUAUGUUUUGGUGAUGCUUUCCCCACAUGUUUUAUAUUUAUGUUGCAACAUUUACCACCUAUCUAUGCUAUCCUAUUUCAUCUGUCUUCUGAAAAGGAAACUAUACAACUUUAAUCUUUAUCAAGAGUGCUCUCCCAUCUUCUCUUCCCACUUCUGUGAAGUUGUUAUAAGAACUGGAAGACUGGCACCAGUCUCUUUCCUUCUUUCUUUACAAGUUGGAGUAGAAAGCAGGAUCUCAGCUUUGUUAUUACAAUCUACAAAACCACAAAGCAUGGAUUUAAAAAAUCAAAUGAAAUCAAUUUCUGUCUGGAUUAAGAAAUAUUUCAAUUAGAACACAAAAUGAAGGAGCUGUUUUUAUUUAAUACCCAUCCUUGGAAUUUUUUUGUUGUAUUUCUGUUGUAUUUAAUCAUAUUCAGGCAUUUUCUUUUCUGUUUUGCUCGCUAUAAGUUGGUGUUCAUUUUGUGUUUAGACUUUUUGUAACUUCAUCAAUAUUUGAAAUUCUUUUAAAGUAUAGGGUAGGAAAUUGAUUUUAUUUUUAAAGAAAAAUAUGUUGAUAAAAAUGAAAAUAAAAAGGGGUAAGAUUUGCUUGCAGUACAAGAAAACUAUUUUCAAACCCUGUGACAUGACUACUAUACCAACAAAGUUUGUGUUUCUUUGUAAAUAAUUAAUUAUGAUAAGCUCUUGAUUUUGUUCAUAAUAGUAUUAUUUUUUAGACCAAUAGAUUUUCUGUUCAAUGACUUAAGUCAAACUGAACUAGUGUCUAUGUUUAUUAGUAAUUUCUUUGGCUGUCUGUAAUUUUUUAAAAGAUUUAUUAAAUUCUGUAUAUUACCCUGAA